rnacentral:rRNA from 1 species
UACGAAGGGGGCUAGCGUUGUUCGGAUUUACUGGGCGUAAAGCGCACGUAGGCGGAUUGGUCAGUUAAAGGUGAAAUCCCGAAGCUCAACUUCGGAACUGCCUUUAAUACUGCCAGUCUAGAGUCCGGAAGAGGUAAGUGGAACUCCUAGUGUAGAGGUGGAAUUCGUAGAUAUUAGGAAGAACACCAGUGGCGAAGGCGGCUUACUGGUCCGGUACUGACGCUGAGGUGCGAAAGCGUGGGGAGCAAACAGG